rnacentral:rRNA from 1 species
GGAGAGGGAGCCUGAGAAACGGCUACCACAUCUAAGGAAGGCAGCAGGCGCGUAAAUUACCCACUCCCAGUUCGGGGAGGUAGUGACGAAAAAUAACAAUACAGGACUCAUAUCCGAGGCCCUGUAAUUGGAAUGAGUACACUUUAAAUCCUUUAACAAGGACCUAUUGGAGGGCAAGUCUGGUGCCAGCAGCCGCGGUAAUUCCAGCUCCAAUAGCGUAUAUUAAAGUUGUUGCGGUUAAAACGUUCGUAGUUGAAUUUGUGCUUCAUACGGGUAGUACAACUAUAAUUGUGGAUUGUACAUUACCUUAUGUAUGCAAGCGUAUUACCGGUGGAGUUCUUAUAUAUAAUUAUACUUGUAUUUUUAUAUAUACCUCCUAUUUAAACCUGCUUCAGUGCUCUUCAUCGAGUGUUGUUGUGGGCCGGUACUAUUACUUUGAACAAAUUAGAGUGCUUAAAGCAGGCUCCAAAUGCCUGAAUAUUUUGUGCAUGGAAUAAUGAAAUAAGACCUCUGAUCUACUUUCAUUGGUUUUUAGAUCAAGAGGUAAUGAUUAAUAGAAGCAGUUUGGGGGCAUUAGUAUUACGACGCGAGAGGUGAAAUUCUUGGACCGUCGUAAGACUAACUUAAGCGAAAGCAUUUGCCAAAGAUGUUUUCAUUAAUCAAGAACGAAAGUUAGAGGU